ACGGGUGAGUAACACGUGGAUAACCUACCUAUAAGACUGGGAUAACUUCGGGAAACCGGAGCUAAUACCGGAUAAUAUUUUGAACCGCAUGGUUCAAAAGUGAAAGACGGUCUUGCUGUCACUUAUAGAUGGAUCCGCGCUGCAUUAGCUAGUUGGUAAGGUAACGGCUUACCAAGGCAACGAUGCAUAGCCGACCUGAGAGGGUGAUCGGCCACACUGGAACUGAGACACGGUCCAGACUCCUACGGGAGGCAGCAGUAGGGAAUCUUCCGCAAUGGGCGAAAGCCUGACGGAGCAACGCCGCGUGAGUGAUGAAGGUCUUCGGAUCGUAAAACUCUGUUAUUAGGGAAGAACAUAUGUGUAAGUAACUGUGCACAUCUUGACGGUACCUAAUCAGAAAGCCACGGCUAACUACGUGCCAGCAGCCGCGGUAAUACGUAGGUGGCAAGCGUUAUCCGGAAUUAUUGGGCGUAAAGCGCGCGUAGGCGGUUUUUUAAGUCUGAUGUGAAAGCCCACGGCUCAACCGUGGAGGGUCAUUGGAAACUGGAAAACUUGAGUGCAGAAGAGGAAAGUGGAAUUCCAUGUGUAGCGGUGAAAUGCGCAGAGAUAUGGAGGAACACCAGUGGCGAAGGCGACUUUCUGGUCUGUAACUGACGCUGAUGUGCGAAAGCGUGGGGAUCAAACAGGAUUAGAUACCCUGGUAGUCCACGCCGUAAACGAUGAGUGCUAAGUGUUAGGGGGUUUCCGCCCCUUAGUGCUGCAGCUAACGCAUUAAGCACUCCGCCUGGGGAGUACGACCGCAAGGUUGAAACUCAAAGGAAUUGACGGGGACCCGCACAAGCGGUGGAGCAUGUGGUUUAAUUCGAAGCAACGCGAAGAACCUUACCAAAUCUUGACAUCCUUUGA
rnacentral:rRNA from 1 species